rnacentral:rRNA from 1 species
UAGGGAAUCUUCGGCAAUGGACGGAAGUCUGACCGAGCAACGCCGCGUGAGUGAAGAAGGUUUUCGGAUCGUAAAGCUCUGUUGUAAGAGAAGAACGAGUGUGAGAGUGGAAAGUUCACACUGUGACGGUAUCUUACCAGAAAGGGACGGCUAACUACGUGCCAGCAGCCGCGGUAAUACGUAGGUCCCGAGCGUUAUCCGGAUUUAUUGGGCGUAAAGCGAGCGCAGGCGGUUAGAUAAGUCUGAAGUUAAAGGCUGUGGCUUAACCAUAGUAGGCUUUGGAAACUGUUUAACUUGAGUGCAAGAGGGGAGAGUGGAAUUCCAUGUGUAGCGGUGAAAUGCGUAGAUAUAUGGAGGAACACCGGUGGCGAAAGCGGCUCUCUGGCUUGUAACUGACGCUGAGGCUCGAAAGCGUGGGGAGCAAACAGGAUUAGAUACCCUGGUAGUCCACGCUGUAAACGAUGAGUGCUAGGUGUUAGACCCUUUCCGGGGUUUAGUGCCGUAGCUAACGCAUUAAGCACUCCGCCUGGGGAGUACGACCGCAAGGUUG